UACGUAGGGUGCGAGCGUUAAUCGGAAUUACUGGGCGUAAAGCGUGCGCAGGCGGUUCGUUAAGUCAGAUGUGAAAGCCCCCGGCUCAACUGGGGAACUGCACGGGAAACUGCGAGGCUUGAGUUCGGGAGAGGGAAGCGGAAUUCCGGGUGUAGCGGUGAAAUGCGUAGAUAUCCGGAGGAACACCGGUGGCGAAGGCGGCUUCCUGGACCGACACUGACGCUGAGGCGCGAAAGCUAGGGGAGCAAACGGG
rnacentral:rRNA from 1 species